GUUUAUAAAAAGUGUUACAAUGAAGUAAAAGUUUACCCUCUGACAAACAUACACCAAGUGCACACCUAACUAACUUACUUAAUUUAAGUAAGUCUUAAACGGCCCACAGAUUUACAUCACCCCGGACAUCACAACUUCUCUACAGACUUAAAAACAUACUAAUUAUCCAAUUAAAAACCAAUGAGGCACUAGGGCAAGAUUUGUAUAAUUCUGGUUCCCUUGCCACAAAUCUGUUUAUAUUUUGGACGAGAUGGUCAAUGUAAUGUUAAUGUGCU